rnacentral:lncRNA from 1 species
GGUCCUGAGGUUCCAUCUUGAUUCUAAAUCACCCAUUUCCUUUCCUAUGGCCUCCCUAACCUGGUGGCUGCCCCUGGACACAGAAUGUUACAUGGCAGGUAACGAGAAUUCUGACAAGGAAAGCAGAAUUAAGCGGAAGCGGAAACGCUCCCUGUUCCUGAGUUUAAGAAAAGCAUUUGGGGGGACAGCCUCUGAUGCCGAUGAUGAGCACACCUAGGAAGAGGCAGUGUCGAUGUGGCAGACUGGGGGUGCAAAGAUUGUCGGUCUGACACCAGUGACAGCCUGGAUGUGGACACCCCCAGCCUGUCUCAGAAUCUCCAUACCAUCAGGACCUCCACAUAGUCAAGCACAGCAGAAGCCUCACUCAAUGCUCACCUCCUAGGGCACCUCACUUAGUGUAAUCUCUGUUGUUUAAUUGCGUAUCCCUUGUUUUAUCCUUUAGUUUUAUCUAUAUGUUCUACGUGUUCAGUAUUUAUCUCUAUGUUGUGUUUUAUGAAAUAAAAUGUUUCUUAUUAAUUUAUUACA